CCUUGCCAGCCCGCUCAAGAACUACAAAUGAAUUGACGGGGGGCCCGCACAAGCGGAGGAGCAUGUGGUUUAAUUCGAUGAUACGCGAGGAACCUUACCUGGGCUCGAACGUAAGAUGACUGUAGGUGAAAGCUUACAUCUCUUCGGAGCAUUUUACGAGGUGCUGCAUGGUUGUCGUCAGCUCGUGCCGUGAGGUGUCGGGUUAAGUCCCAUAACGAGCGCAACCCCUACCUUUAGUUGCCAUCAGGUUAAGCUGGGGACUCUAAAGGAACUGCCUACGCAAGUAGUGAGGAAGGCGGGGAUGACGUCAAAUCAGCACGGCCCUUAUGUCCUGGGCUACACACGUGCUACAAUGGCCGGUACAGAGCGCAGCGAGGCCGCGAGGCGGAGCGAAUCGCUUAAAGCCGGUCCCAGUACGGAUUGGAGUCUGCAACCCGACUCCAUGAAGUUGGAAUCGCUAGUAAUCGCGCAUCAGCAUGGCGCGGUGAAUACGUUCCCGGGCCUU
rnacentral:rRNA from 1 species